GGAUCUGAGGGUGAUCUGGCUGCGACAUCUGUCACCCCAUUGAUCGCCAGGGUUGAUUUGGCUGAUCUGGCUGGCUAGGUGGGUGUCCCCUUCCUCCCUCACCGCUCCAUGUGCGUCCCAUCCAAAGCUGCAUGCUUAGUCGAAGAGGACGGCCUUCCCCAAAUAGGGACAGACUGGUCUUCAGUCCAGGGUAUAUAAGAAGCUGCUCUCCCCUGGUAGAACCUCCAAACAAGCUCUCUUGAGAGUGGGGACCUUCCCUGGAGCAUAUGCCCCCUCAGACUGGAAGAACUGAUUUCCAGUUUGGGG
rfam:Erinaceus europaeus unplaced genomic scaffold scaffold00013, whole genome shotgun sequence